CAUUUGCAGGACCAGGGAUGCUGCACUGCUCUCCCAUGAGCCAGUCACCAAGUCUGUCUGCUGCAAGCCCUUUCUGAACCUCUGGCUGUCUGGAUGCUCCACUGUGCUCCUUGCCAAGAUGAAGUGCGUCUUGGUGGCCACUGAGGGUGCAGAGGUCCUCUUCUACUGGACAGAUGAGGAGUUUGAAGAGAGUCUUCGGCUGAAGUUCAGGCAGUCAGAGAAUGAGGAAGAGCUCCCUGCCCUGGAGGACCAGCUCAGCACGCUCCUAGCCCCGGUCAUCAUCUCCUCCAUGACGAUGCUGGAGAAGCUGUCGGACACCUACACCUGCUUCUCCACGGAAAACGGCAACUUCCUGUAUGUCCUUCACCUGUUUGGAGAAUGCCUGUUCAUUGCCAUCAAUGGCGACCACACUGAGAGCGAGGGGGACCUGCGGCGGAAGCUGUAUGUGCUCAAGUACCUGUUCGAAGUGCACGUCGGGCUGGUGACUGUGGACGGUCAGCUUAUCCGAAAGGAGUGAGUCUUCAAAGCUGGUACCCUCUGUCCUUUGCCGAACACCCUCGCUGGGCCAGGCAGCGUGUGCCCAGCCCCUGUGAAGCUGCCAUUUUUCACACACUGCCCCCAGCUGGGUCCCUAGGUCAGAGAAACAGAGCUCAAAUGAACCUUGGAGACCAUCUGGUCUGACCCUCUGACUUUAUAUCUGG
rnacentral:sRNA from 1 species